rnacentral:tRNA from 1 species
AUUUAAAUAGCUUAAUUUUAGAGCAUAAUAUUGAAGAUAUUAAAGUAACAUUUAUUGUUUUUAAAUA